UACGGAGGUGGCGAGCGUGGUCCGGAUUUACUGGGCGUAAAGAGCGCGCAGGCGGUCGUACAAGUCGGGUGGGAAAGCCCCUGGCUCAACUGGGGAGGGUCACGCGAUACUGUUCGACUCGAAGGCAGGAGAGGGAAGUGGAAUUCCCGGUGUAGUGGUGAAAUGCGUAGAUAUCGGGAGGAACACCAGUGGCGAAGGCGACUUCCUGGCCUGUUCUUGACGCUGAGGCGCGAAAGCUAGGGUAGCAAACGGG
rnacentral:rRNA from 1 species